rnacentral:rRNA from 1 species
AGCGAACGCUGGCGGCAGGCCUAACACAUGCAAGUCGAACGAAGUCUUCGGACUUAGUGGCGGACGGGUGAGUAACACGUGGGAACGUACCUUUUGGUUCGGAACAACUCAGGGAAACUUGAGCUAAUACCGGAUGAGCCCUUAGGGGGAAAGAUUUAUCGCCGAAAGAGCGGCCCGCGUUAGAUUAGCUAGUUGGUGAGGUAAAGGCUCACAAAGGCUACGAUCUAUAGUUGGUCUGAGAGGAUGAUCAGCCACACUGGGACUGAGACACGGCCCAGACUCCUACGGGAGGCAGCAGUGGGGAAUCUUGCGCAAUGGGCGAAAGCCUGACGCAGCCAUGCCGCGUGAAUGAUGAAGGUCUUAGGAUUGUAAAAUUCUUUUACCAGGGACGAUAAUGACGGUACCUGGAGAAAAAGCCCCGGCUAACUUCGUGCCAGCCGCCGCCGUAAAAC